AUGUCUCCUCUAGCUCUAAGCAGUCGUCUUCUUCAUAUUCCCCAAAUUUCCUUUUCAGGCUUUUAUAGAGCAAAGUUUUCAAGCCUCUAGGUCGUCUCUUUCACAGUCUUUCAUUCUUUCCUCAAGAUAGAAAGAAAAAGUCAUUCAAGGCCGAAAACAAACCCUCCAUCUAUAUCACUGCUUCUCUCUGCCAUCCGAACUCAACACAACCUUGUAUUCUUGGUUUAUCUAAAAGUACUAUAAUAUUGAAGGUCUGGGCCUGUGUCGCGGAGGAGCACUGAUCAAGUGAGUUGGAAAGCGAAGUCUGAAGCUUGUCUUGGGUGCUCGAUGGUACUUUCACCUCAAUUUGUGACUGCAUGUUUAAGAUUCAGGAUAACUUUACCAUUGUUUAGUGCUCUGAUGGGAGAAACUGCUUUUGGAUUCACUGAGUAGGCGACAUCAAAUUACAUAGAGCUCUCUCACUGUUUGAGAAGUAUAAAAAUCAGGCUGAUGGUUGAAUUGUGAAAAAAGAUCAGCUUACUGUCAAAAUCCAAAUCAAGUGAGGCACAAGAGCUUUUGCGUCAUCUACACAAAGCUAAAAGUGUUUAACAUGACUAAGUGCAAGAAAGGUGUGCUAAGAAGAAGCAGACUAAACAUAGCAUGGAGAACUCAUCACCUUUUGCCAAUAUGUAAAUAGUACCUCCGAUGUUUUACCAUUUAAUUGUCUGAAGCUGGCAUGGACAUAAGGAAUGUGUCAUUUGCCAACCGCACAACAUCUGUGAAUGGAUGUAUAAGAAUAAUAUUUAGUAAUUAGCAUGCGGUGCUGUUUCUGUCUUUGAGAACUAAUUUACAUGUAUCGAUUCUUAUUAUUUGCAAUUUCAUAUCAAUUUGAAGUUGGUAGAAAAAUUCACGAGCACGGGCCAUCUUUGCCUUGUAGUCAUAUAGAAGAGUGCUAAAGCUGCUGGCUGUUGUCA